GACGAACGCUGGCGGCGUGCUUAACACAUGCAAGUCGAACGGAAAGGCCCUGCUUUUGUGGGGUGCUCGAGUGGCGAACGGGUGAGUAACACGUGAGUAACCUGCCCCUGACUUUGGGAUAACUUCAGGAAACUCGGGCUAAUACCGGAUAGGAGCUCUUGCUGCAUGGUGGGGGUUGGUAAGUUUCGGCGGUUGGGGAUGGACUCGCGGCUUAUCAGCUUGUUGGUGGGGUAGUGGCUUACCAAGGCUUUGACGGGUAGCCGGCCUGAGAGGGGGACCGGCCACAUGAGGACUGAGAUACGGCGCAGACUCCUACGGGAGGCAGCAGUGGAGAAUAUUGCGCAAUGAGCGGGAGCCAGAUGCAGCAACGCCGCGUGCGGGAUGACGGCCUUCGGGUUGUAAACCGAUUUCGCCUGUGACGAAGAGUGAGUGACGGUAAUGGGUAGAGAAGCACCGGCUAACUACGUG
rnacentral:rRNA from 1 species